rnacentral:rRNA from 1 species
UGCCAGCAGCCGCGGUAAGACGAAGGUGGCAACCGUUGUUCGGAAUCACUGGGCAUAAAGAGCACGUAGGCGGGGACGUUCGUCGGGUGUGAAAUCCCUCGGCUCAACCGAGGAACUGCGCCCGAAACUGCGUCCCUUGAGGGCAGGAGGGGAGCGUGGAAUUCCUGGUGGAGCGGUGAAAUGCGUUGAUAUCAGGAGGAACACCGGCGGCGAAGGCGACGCUCUGGCCUGCUUCUGACGCUGAGGUGCGAAAGCCAGGGGAGCAAACGGGAUUAGAUA